GCUGGGGUGUCAAUUUAAAAUUCAGUAUCAGAGGAUCUUAAACUCUGAGGUUGGCCAACCACUUCAUUUUACAGAUAAGGAAACUGAGACCCAGAGAGAGCAAGUGAUUCUCGGAGGGUCUCAUGCAGUUAAGCAGUGGCAGAACGGUAACCAAAAACUGGGGUGAAAUGGGGUGCUCCUUAGUCCCAGUCUUUCGUCAGAACAACUUCCCCAAACUACUUGAUUGGAAAAUAAUUCAAGGGGCUGAAUCUCCCCUUGUGACCUGUCUGCUGAUCAGGAGAAGCAGUUGCUGGACAUCCUUCACAUUUCCAAGCAGAUUCCCAGCUACCUAGGACCCAGGCAUUCACUGAGGACAUGUCCCUAAGACCCUGUGCCCACAGCCUUUCCUUCCCUGCUAUCUUCAACCCCUUUUACCUUAGCUCUUAACUACCUGACCAUAACUAUUUCUUUCCUUAAAUUUUGGGUCUCCUAUGUUCUAAAUCAUGCAUACCCAACCAGCUGGACAUAUAAUUCUCUGAUUCAUCUCUCUAGUUGCUUCUAGGGUAAAAGCACUCAUGGGAGUCACCCAGAUGCCAGAUGCCACCAUAACCAUCCCAGCCUGAUGCUCUGGACAUGGCCUACAGUCAAUACCUCUCUCUCCUAAUGUUAGGCAGGGACAACUCUACACCCAUUUUCAGCUGUGAAGAAGUUACAGAAUACAGAGACCACCAUCCCUUUUCCCUUACAUAUUAGAGGGGGGAGAUGACAUGGGCACUCUACCCCAGAAACCCAGGGGAACUAUUAUCAGGGAAACUCCCUUGCCUUUGCAUCCUCUGACUCUUAACCUAGAAAUACCCAAUGACCCCACCUAGGGUCCUGAGAUGUUUACCCUCUUUUGUCCUCUAGAUUUAAGAUGGACAAGGAAAUGAAUCUUUAUGCUUCCAGGCAGACCCCAGUCAGAUGACCACCCCACCAAAUGCCUGAGGGACUAACACUAGGUCACAUCCACACCAAGACAUAACAUCUAAAGAGUAUAUAAACCCCGGAACUGAUGUUGUCUGGGGGACAGCCUUUCCACCCAUGAGGUCCCCAUGGAGGAACAGCCUUUCCAUUUGUGCUGUCCUCCCAGGAACUGCUCCAUAUCUUGCUGUCCCGCCUUGCUAUCCUCCUGGCCAUUCUCAACAUUACUUCCUAAAUUAAUAAAUUGAUCUUUUUGUUUUUAA